AUGACAGAGGGGCUGCUGUGUAAAGAGAGAGAGCUCUGCCAACAGCUCAGUGCUCAGGGAGGAGCUGAGGAGUGUGUGUGUCAAACUCCAGAGGAUCAGGACGGAGAGGGAGAACGUGGAGCAGAAACUCAUGUAAGUAGAUAUGCCAUAGAGACAUACUUGCAUGCGAGGCGUUUACACACACACACACACACACACACACACACACACACACACACACACACACACGCAGACAAACACAUCAUGAACACAUGCAAACAGCCAAAUAAACAGCCAAAUAAACAGCCCCUCCUGUGAGGCAGUUGGAAUAUGGAAUGUGUUGUGGUGGUAUAGAGUAGGUCAGAGUCAGCCUUGGAUUUACAGUUCCUGUCUCCCAACCAAUCACAGCACUGUCAUAGGAUUCAGGAAACACACUUUCUGGAUAACGGACCAAAUCAAAUCAAAUGUAUUUAUAUAGCCCUUCGUACAUCAGCUGAUAUCUCAAAGUGCUGUACAGAAACCCAGCCUAAAACCCCAAACAGCAAGCAAUGCAGGUGUUGAAACUGCUUUCGCAACAGCUAAUGGGGAUCCUAAUAAAAUAUCAAACACCACAUGACAUCACCCAGACACGUACAAACACUAUGACAUUACACAUGUCCUCAGGCUGGGGUUACACAAAGCAACUCUCACACAAUUUGAGUUACAGUUGCAAGUGACAUCAAAUCAAAUCAAAUUGUAUUUGUCACAUGCGCCGAAUACAACAGGUGUAGUAGACCUUACAGUGAAAUGCUGAAUACAACAGGUGUAGUAGACCUUACAGUGAAAUGCUGAAUACAACAGGUGUAGUAGGCCUUACAGUGAAAUGCUGAAUACAACAGGUGUAGUAGACCUUACAGUGAAAUGCUGAAUACAACAGGUGUAGUAGACCUCACAGUGAAAUGCUUACUUACAGGCUCUAACCAAUAGUGCGGGGAAAAAGGUGUGUGUGUGUGUGUGUGUGNNNNNNNNNNGACAUACUCGAAGCACGGUUCGUUCAGAUGAAAUGGUCACGAGACCUGAGAGUGAAGGACAGGGCCUGUUGCCCUCCACACAUCACCAACCCUGAAUCUGGAGCGGAGACAGCAACAUUUUGAAACUAUUUAUUUCACCAUACAUUUAAUUGGUUUAAAACCUGGUUGUUUUAUGUCAUUUUAUACAGCAAAUCAACUGUAUUUUAUUGUCCAGCUGCCAAAGGCACAAUCCUAGUCAUAUUAGUAACCAAUGCUAGUUGUUACACCUUUAGAUCUCCCCUCUUAGUAUCUAACAGAUCUUUUAGAUCU
rnacentral:lncRNA from 13 species